rnacentral:rRNA from 1 species
AUGGGCAUAGCCUCAGCAGCGGCAGUGCUCGUGCUAGCGAUCGUGGCCGCAGCCGCGGCCACGGCAGAGACUACAGCGCCGCCGAUAGGGCUGACCGGCUGCGCCACCAGCUGCGGGGACGUGAGCGUGCCGUACCCCUUCGGCUUCGGACCGCCGCGCUGCCACUGGCCGGGGCUCAACCUCACCUGCGACACGAGCGGCCCGCAGCCCCCGAGGCUGCUCCUCGGCGACGGCGCGCUCCGGGUCGCCGCGAUCUCCCUCCGGAACGCCACCGUCCGCGUGGUGCGCGCGGGCUCCAUCAUCGACAGCGCCAGCGUCACCUCCGACCGCAACGUCUCCUUCGGCGGCGGCUUCGUGGACGCCGGGUACAUGCUGUCCAACGGCAACGAGCUCGUGCUCUCCGGGUGCAACCUGCUGGCGACGCUGGUGGAGGACCUCGGCGUGGGGCCCGGCAGGUCCGGCAUCAUCAGCGGCUGCGCCUCCUUCUGCUCCUUCCGCAACAAGAAGGUGGACAGCGUCGGCCAGCUGGCCGGCAAGUACUGCUCCGGCAUGGCGUGCUGCCAGGCGCCCAUCAACUACCACAGCUCGCCCACCGGGGUGCACCUCCGGUGGCUGGACGCCGGGAACCACAGCGAGGCGCUGACGUUCCUGCCCACCUACGUGUUCGUGGCGGAGGAGGGGUGGUUCGACCGGAGGCCGCUGGCCGACGAGCUGCUGAGCGUGAAGCAGGGCCCGUCGAAGGCGGCGCUGGAGGUUCCCUUUGUCCUCCUGUGGGGCGUCAAGCAGGGCCUCCCACCGCUGCCGAGCUUGACGGCCAACACGUCCACCGCUUGCUCCGACGAGGCGCACCGCAGGCUCUGCAAGAGCGACCACAGCGUGUGCGCGGUCGGAAACCUUGGUUAUACGUGCCAGUGUCAAGGCGGCUACGACGGCAACCCCUACCUCACCCAAGGGUGCCAAGAUGUCAAUGAAUGUGAGCAGCCACAUGACUAUGGGUGCUUCGGCAAAUGCAUCAACACAAUUGGUGGGUACAAAUGUCAGUGCCCACAAGGAACCCACGGCAACUACACCAUCAAGGAUGGUUGCAUCAAGUCUGCGGCUACAGGAACAAGCAUCGGUAUAGGAGUUGGCAGUGCAGUAGGCUUUAUGCUUUUGGUCCUCGCGACAAUCUUCGUGGUCCAAAGGUUUAAACAUAAGAGACAGAUACUUUUGAAACAAAAGUUUUUCAAGCAAAAUCGUGGACAGUUGUUGCAACAAUUAGUGUCCCCAAGGAUAGACAUCGCAGAAAGGAUGAUCAUUCCAAUAGAUGAACUUGCAAAGGCAACAAAUAACUUUGACAAAGCACGUGAGCUUGGGGGUGGAGGCCAUGGUACAGUCUACAAAGGGAUCUUAUCGGACCUACAUGUUGUGGCCAUCAAGAAGUCAAAGAUCACUGUCCAGAAAGAGAUAGACGAAUUCAUAAAUGAGGUAGCCAUCCUCUCACAGAUCAAUCACAGGAAUGUAGUGAAGCUUAUUGGAUGUUGCCUAGAGACAGAGGUACCAUUGUUGGUUUAUGAGUUUGUUUCUAAUGGAACCCUCUAUGACCACCUCCAUGUUGAAAGGCCAAAAUCCCUUUCAUGGGUAACUAGGUUCAGGAUUGCAACUGAAAUUGCGAGUGCUCUUGCCUAUCUUCACUCCUCAGUUUCAAUCCCAAUUAUUCAUAGAGAUAUCAAGUCUAGUAACAUACUUCUGAAUGAAUCUAUGACAUCGAAGGUGUCAGACUUUGGAGCUUCAAGAUACAUUCCGACGGAUAAAACGGGAUUAACAACAAUGGUUCAAGGAACAAUUGGAUACUUGGAUCCUAUGUACUUCUACACAGGCCGCCUCACAGAGAAAAGUGAUGUGUAUAGCUUCGGUGUCAUUCUCAUCGAACUGCUAACAAGGAAGAAACCAUUUUCGUAUUUCUUCCUUGAUGGAGAUGGCCUUGUUUCUCAUUUUGUCAAGCUGCUUGCUGAUCAAAUGUUGGUCCAAAUACUAGAUCCGCAGGUCAUAGAGGAGGGAGGCAAAGAAGUUCAUCAACUCUCCAUACUUGCAGCAUCAUGUAUAAAGUUAAAUGCUGAGGACCGGCCUACAAUGCGACAGGUGGAACAUACACUCGAAGGCCUCAUUGUAUCCAAGAAAUUUAUCCAAAACAAUGUGGAAGUUGAGAAAAUCUUAGAGAAUGGCAUUACUAUGAUGAAUUGCUCGUUGAAAGAAGGCAGAAAAAGCCCGCCAGAAUGCAGCAGAAGAUAUAGCAUGGAAGAAGAAAUAUUGAUGUCUGCAAGGUACCCUCGGUAG